CCUACGGGUGGCAGCAGUGAGGAAUUUUGCGCAAUGGGGGAAACCCUGACGCAGCAACGCCGCGUGAGUGAUGAAGGCUUUCGGGUCGUAAAGCUCUGUCAAGUGGGAAGAAGUUAUCAUAUAUUAAUAGUAUAUGGUAUUGACGGUACCACUGAAGGAAGCACCGGCUAACUCCGUGCCAGCAGCCGCGGUAAUACGGAGGGUGCAAGCGUUAUUCGGAUUUACUGGGCGUAAAGGGCGCGUAGGCGGUCUGAUAAGUCAGUUGUGAAAGCCCGGGGCUCAACCCCGGAAGUGCAAUUGAAACUGUCAGGCUUGAGUAUGGUAGAGGGAAGUGGAAUUCCUGGUGUAGCGGUGAAAUGCGUAGAUAUCAGGAGGAACACCGGUGGCGAAGGCGGCUUCCUGGACCAAUACUGACGCUGAGGCGCGAAGGUGUGGGUAGCAAACAGGAUUAGAUACCCCAGUAGUC
rnacentral:rRNA from 1 species